AUGUGGGAGGGAAUGCUGUCACCUCCAGGCAGGUGUUCUCUCUCUCUCUCUCUUUCUCUCUUUCUCUCUCACCGCUCCUUCUCUCUCUCUCUCUGUCACUGCUCCUUCUCUCUCUCACCGCUCCUUCUCUCUCUCACCGCUCCUUCUCUCUCACAGCUCCUUCUCUCUCUGCUCCUUCUCUCUCUCUCUCCCUCUGCUCUCACCGCUCCUUCUCUCUCACAGCUCCUUCUCUCUCUGCUCCUUCUCUCUCUCACCGCUCCUUCUCUCUCUCUGCUCCUUCUCUCUCUCUCUCUCUCUCUCUCCCUCUGCUCUCACCGCUCCUUCUCUCUCUGCUCCUUCUCUCUCGCUCUCUCUCCGCUCCUUCUCUCUCUCUCUCUCUCUCACCGCUCCUUCUCUCUCUCUCUCACCGCUCCUUCUCUCUCUCUCACCGCUCCUUCUCUCUCUCUCUCUCUCUCACCGCUCCUUCUCUCUCUCUCGCUCUCACUGCUCCUUCUCUCUCUCUCUCUCUCACCGCUCCUUCUCUCUCUCUCACUGCUCCUUCUCUCUCUCUCUCUCCAUCUGCUCUCACCGCUCCUUCUCUCCCUCUGCUCUCACUGCUCCUUCUCUCUCUGCUCCUUCUCUCUCUGCUCCUUCUCUCUCUCACCGCUCCUUCUCUCUCUCACCGCUCCUUCUCUCUCUCUCUCUCCCUCUGCUCUCACCGCUCCUUCUCUCUCACAGCUCCUUCUCUCACUGCUCCUUCUCUCUCUCUCCUUCUCUCUCUGCUCCUUCUCUCUCUCACCGCUCCUUCUCUCUCUCUCUCUCCCUCUGCUCUCACCGCUCCUUCUCUCUCACAGCUCCUUCUCUCUCUGCUCCUUCUCUCUCUCACCGCUCCUUCUCUCUCACUGCUCCUUCUCUCUCUGCUCCUUCUCUCUCUCUCCUUCUCUCUCUGCUCCUUCUCUCUCUCACCGCUCCUUCUCUCUCUCUCUCUCUCCCUCUGCUCUCACCGCUCCUUCUCUCUCACCGCUCCUUCUCUCUCGCUCUCUCUCCGCCCCUUCUCUCUCUCCGCUCCUUCUCUCUCUCUCUAUUUCCCUCUGCUCUCACCGCUCCUUCUCUCUCUCACCGCUCCUUCUCUCUCUCUCUCUCCCUCUGCUCUCACCGCUCCUUCUCUCUCACCGCUCCUUCUCUCUCGCUCUCUCUCCGCUCCUUCUCUCUCUCUCCGCUUCUUCUCUCUCUCUCUCUCUCUCUCUCUCUGCUCUCUCCGUUCCUUCUCUCUCUCAUUACAUUCACAGAAUUUCCAAAAGAAUAAAGAAAUGUCAUAUGUGUAUAUAUAGUGUUAUAGCAAUGUCUCUCUCUCUCUGCUCUCACCGUUACCCUCAGUCUCUGCUCAGUUAG
rnacentral:lncRNA from 1 species